GUAGUCAUAUGCUUGUCUCAAAGAUUAAGCCAUGCAUGUCUAAGUAUAAGCAAUCUAUACUGUGAAACUGCGAAUGGCUCACUAAAUCAGUUAUAGUUUAUUUGAUAGUACCUUUACCUGGAUAACCGUGGUAAUUCUAGAGCUAAUACAUGCUAAAAACCCCGACUUCGGAAGGGGUGUAUUUAUUAGAUAAAAAACCAAUGCCCUUCGGGGCUCCUUGGUGAUUCAUAAUAACUCAACGAAUCGCAUGGCCUUGCGCCGGCGAUGGUUCAUUCAAAUUUCUGCCCUAUCAACUUUCGAUGGUAGGAUAGUGGCCUACCAUGGUCUCAACGGGUAACGGGGAAU
rnacentral:rRNA from 1 species